UGCGGGAGCGGGCUUGCUCGCGAUGCUGACGGCUCGAUCGUCAGACAAAACCGGGCGAUGCUAUCGCGAGCAAGCCCGCUCCCACA
rnacentral:misc_RNA from 1 species